CCUACGGGUGGCAGCAGUGAGGAAUAUUUGUCAAUGGACGAGAGUCUGAACCAGCAAAGUAGCGUGAAGGAUGACUGCCCUAUGGGUUGUAAACUUCUUUUAUAUGGGAAUAAAAUGUGCCACGUGUGGGCUUUUGUAUGUACCAUAUGAAUAAGGAUCGGCUAACUCCGUGCCAGCAGCCGCGGUAAUACGGAGGAUCCGAGCGUUAUCCGGAUUUAUUGGGUUUAAAGGGAGCGUAGGUGGAUUGUUAAGUCAGGUGUGAAAGUUUGCGGCUCAACCGUAAAAUUGCAGUUGAUACUGGGAGUCUUGAGUAAAGUAGAGGUGGGCGGAAUUCGUGGUGUAGCGGUGAAAUGCUUAGAUAUCGAGAAGAACACCGAUUGCGAAGGCAGCUCACUGGACUGCAACUGACACUGAGGCUCGAAAGUGUGGGUAUCAAACAGGAUUAGAUACCCCGGUAGUC
rnacentral:rRNA from 1 species